UACGGAGGGUGCGAGCGUUGUUCGGAAUCACUGGGCGUAAAGCGCGUGUAGGCGGCCCACUAAGUCUGAUGUGAAAGCCCGGGGCUCACCCCCCGGAAGUGCAUUGGAAACUGGUGGACUCGAGUCCCGGAGAGGAGAGUGGAAUUCCGUGGUGUAGCGGUGAAAUGCGUAGAUAUCAGGAGGAACACCGGUGGCGAAGGCGGCUCUCUGGACGGUGACUGACGCUGAGACGCGAAAGCGUGGGGAGCAAACAGG
rnacentral:rRNA from 1 species